rnacentral:rRNA from 1 species
UUAGGAAUUUUGCGCAAUGGAAGAAAUUCUGACGCAGCAACGCCGCGUGAGGGAUGAAGGCCUUCGGGUCGUAAACCUCUUUUAGUGGGGAAAAACACAAUGAUGGUACCCGCAGAAAAAGCACCGGCGAACUCUGUGCCAGCAGCCGCGGUAAUACAGAGGGUGCAAGCGUUAUUCGGAUUCACUGGGCGUAAAGGGCGCGUAGGCGGCUUGGUAAGUUUGAUGUGAAAGCCCUGGGCUCAAUCCAGGAAGUGCAUCGAAUACUGUCAAGCUGGAGUAUGGGAGAGGAGGACGGAAUUCCUGGUGUAGAGGUGAAAUUCGUAGAUAUCAGGAGGAACAACAGUGGCGAAGGCGGUUCUCUGGACCAUUACUGACGCUGAAGCGCGAAAGCGUGGGGAGCAAACAGG